rnacentral:rRNA from 1 species
AUUAUUAAAUAAUUAUUAAAUCUUUAGAGUAGUAUUAGUUAUAUUCUUGAAACUUAAAAAAUUUGGCGGUAUUUUAGUCUUUUCAGAGGAAUUUGUUACAUGAUCGAUAGUCCUCGUUGAACCUUACUUAUUUUAAUAAAUUUAUAUAUCGUUGUCAUUAGAAUAUGUUGUAAGAUUAAUAAAUUUCUAUCAUUAAAAUUAUUUAUUAUGUCAAAUCAAGGUGUAGUAGAUAAAUAAGUGUUAAUUAAUUACAAUAAAAAAAUUUAAAAUGAAUUAGGUAUUGCAAUAUAUUUUUGAAAGUGGAUUUGAUAGUAAAAAUUAAUAGAUUAUAGUUUUGAUUUUAGCUCUAAAAUAUGUAC